GAUGAACGCUGGCGGUGUGCCUAAUACAUGCAAGUCGAGCGGUAACACUUCGGGUGACGAGCGGCGGACGGCUGAGUAACGCGUAGGAAUGUACCCCAGAGUGAGGGAUAAGCACCAGAAAUGGUGUCUAAUACCGCAUAACCUCUUCGGAGAAAAGCUUCGGCGCUUUGGGAACAGCCUGCGUAUGAUUAGCUUGUUGGUAAGGUAAAAGCUUACCAAGGCGACGAUCAUUAGCUGGGCUGAGAGGAUGAUCAGCCAGACUGGGACUGAGACACGGCCCAGACUCCUACGGGAGGCAGCAGUAGGGAAUUUUCCACAAGGGGCGAAAGUCUGAUGGAGCAACACCGCGUGCAGGAUGAAGGCCUUAGGGUUGUAAACUGCUUUUAUAUGUGACGAUUAUGACGGUAGCAUAUGAAUAAGGAUCGGCUAACUCCGUGCCAGCAGCCGCCGCCG
rnacentral:rRNA from 1 species